CAUGAGCUGAGAGGAGUUGGUGCAAAGAUCUAAACCCGACGAACCCUAAUUCGUCCUAGCUCGCGUUCCAGCUCGUCAGCAUCUGAUCAGCUCCAGCCAUAAGGUGUUCCUGAUCCUAGACGACCUCAGCUUCCAGUUCAUAUCACAGCCAGCUCGAGUUCCCAAUCAACCAGCUUGCAAAGGAAGCAACUCGCGACCCGAUAGGAGGCAGCGUCCGUCCAGCUCGCGUUCGAGGUUUAUCAGCCCAUCUUGGUGGUCUGGUUCAACCCUUCAAACAGAGGUAUACCGUGAUCUGAGAACCUAGAAAGAACAAACCCUAAAAUCCUAAUCCAUGAUUAUGGACUCCCUUUGUUCUUGAUGAAACCCUAAAUUGAUAUAACCUAAAAUUGAUCAUCUCAUAAAUCAAUAGAUUAAAAUCGAUUCCCUAUAACAUGUUUGAUUGUUUGAUUGUUUCUGAUUUGAAUUAAAGAAACACUAAAUUUGGAAUCGUAAUCCUAGAAACCCUAAAACCCUAAAAUCGGUUUUCAUUGAGGUUUCUAAAUUAAGUUAUUGAUUGAUGAUCUGAGAUAUUAGGAUUGUUUGAUAAAUUGAUUGAUAGAUCUAAUCUCUAAAUUCGAAAUCCUUAAAGCCUUGAAACUCUUAAUCGGCUACUUGAAAGUUUUAAGAUCCUAAAUCUCGUUUUGAUUUCCUAAAGGUUUUGAAAUCUUAAAUCUAAUAAAAGUCUUAAAAGAUUGAAAGUUUAAAAAUGGUUUUUGAAUGAGAGUUAGGUUGCUAGAUUGAUUGAUUCUAAAAUCUAGUUGAAACAUUACCAACCUUGAAAAUGGUAAACUUGAUAUGUAUUGUGUGGCAUUGUGUUUUGUUAUGAAUCAUAUUAGACAACCAUAAGGUCUAAUGCAUUGCACACACACGUGGCCUUGUGCCCUUGAUUAAGAUUAAAGCCGUUUGGCUUAGUGCAUAUCUAUGUAGACAUAUGGCCAAGCAUCCGGAUGGUUAUAGAAACCAGAUUGCAUAAUGAACCAAUCUCUAAGAUUGCUGUAUCACACUAACAUGGCUGUGUGACCUGACUCACACCAUGAUCGAUUGUUUUCAUAGAUGCGUAAGAACUUGUUUGUGGCCGAGCUUGCUAUAUCAUGCGGCUGCAUGAGCCACAUUGUGAACCUAAAUUUUAAAUGACAAUGUGACUCAGAUAUCGAAAAGGGAUUUGGUGAUACAAUCACCAAGGAAAACAAUGAGAAUGAAUUGGUACAGGAUUCCAUCAUCUCAUUGAAGGUCUAAAAGAUCAGUACAUCACUAUGGAAAAUCCACUAGAUUUUGGGGAUGCUUUACAGCAUAGAAAUUACCACCAGAAAACGGUGUUGCUUCCAAAGACUAGAAAUGACUGGAAGAAUCUAAGAUUCUGGGAUUACAAAGUCAUGGAUGAGUACAACUCAGUCUUGUUUAAGACAGUCUCAAUGCUGAGACUUUGUGGUGAAGUAGUAACCAAGAAAGAGUUACUAGAGAAGACCUAUUCCACAUUCCAUGUGUCGAAAGUCAUACUGCAACAGUAUAGAAUAAAAGGCUUCACCACUUAUACUGACCUGAUUGCAUGACUGCUUCUGGCAGAGACCAAAUUUCAAUACGACUAGUCUUAUUGCUUUAUGAUUGCAAUUGUGUUUUAACCUAAGGAUCAUUCACGAUUUUUAUAUACAAAGGAAUUAGUCUUGAGUUUAUUAAAUCUUGCCUGAUCUUACUUAAACAUAUGAAUGUUUUAAAGUAUUGCCUAAAGGGCAUAAAACCGAGUAAGAAAUCAUGAAUGGGUAUAGUAAGCAUAGUAAAGAAACUAUGGCUAAGGCAUUUUGCCUCAAAGGCAUUAUAUACACCCAAAGAAAACGUGGUCCAUUGAAGUUAUAAUGAAUGGUUUCCAAAUAAGAAACAAUGGGCAAGAAUGGAAACAAAGUUCCUUCAGAUCUUUAAGAAUAAAACGCCUAAGACCUUAUUUAUCAUUCUAUACAUGUAAAUUCAUUAUGUCCCCAAGCAUAUAGGUAAUGGCCGAACCUCUUAUAGGUAAUGGCCUCUCUGGCCGGUUAUGGCCUUUGCGGCCAGGCCGUUGUCUCUCAUGGUCUCUUCGGCCUCUUUGGCCGAGUCAUGGACUGUGUGCGGUCAAGCCUGCACUAUUCAGACAAGUCACGACCAAGUCAUGGCCAAGUCGUGGCCAAGCUGUUUAUAGGUGAUAGCCUCUUUGGUUUGGCCGUUUGUAUCAUGGCCUUUCUUUGGCCGGGUAAUGGCCCUUUAUGGCUGAUUAAUGGCCGAGCCAUAUAACAUGGUCUUAGACCAUAGUACACGAACUUGUAGUAUUGAUCAUGGGUUUAUCUUCUCUCCCCCUCAUGACCAUACUAUAAGGUCGUGGUGCUUUGGGAUAAUUAAGCCUAAUGAGUGUCCCUAUGUGUACAUGUUUCACAACGUGAGAUCUUUACGGGAUAACUCGGUGCCUUUAUAAUUUCUUUGCAUCAAGUUUAAACUU
rnacentral:lncRNA from 1 species